rnacentral:rRNA from 1 species
UAAUACAGGGGGUGCAAGCGUUGUUCGGAAUUAUUGGGCGUAAAGCGCGUGUAGGCGGACCGUUAAGUCUGGUGUGAAAUCCCUCGGCUCAACUGAGGAAGUGCAUUGGAUACUGGCGGCCUUGAGUCCUGGAGAGGGUAGCGGAAUUCCCAGUGUAGAGGUGAAAUUCGUAGAUAUUGGGAGGAACACCGGUGGCGAAGGCGGCUACCUGGACAGUGACUGACGCUGAGACGCGAAAGCAUGGGUAGCAAACAGGAUUAGAUACCCUGGUAGUCCAUGCCGUAAACGAUGGGUGCUAGUUGGUGCGGGUAUUGACCCCUGCGCUGACGAAGCUAACGCGUUAAGCACCCCGCCUGGGGAGUACGGCCGCAAGGCUA